GGGGUGGAGCAGUCUGGUAGCUCGUCGGGCUCAUAACCCGAAGGUCGUCGGUUCGAAUCCGGCCCCCGCAACCA
rnacentral:tRNA from 1 species